GGAUGGGCUAUGGCUUAGUGGUAGAGCAUGUGCUUUGCAUGCAAAAGGCAUGAGGUUCAAUCCCUGGCAAAUCCA
rnacentral:tRNA from 1 species